AAAUUUGGCCACACUUCGACCGUGGUUUAUCCAAUUUUACCGUAUAUUCUGAGCACCAAGUAUCCCGAGAAAAUGAAUAAAGUGUAAUAUCGUCAACAACAAUCAUGAGUAAUAAACAAGCUAAUGGCCGUAAGACGUAUCCUGGGGUACCACUGUUUGGCACUAAUCUUGGAAAAUGGUUCAUUCCAUUCACCGUUGAUCUCCCAAGCCUUACCACUAAAGAAUUAUGAGCAUUUCACAAACUUUUCGGCCGUUUAUUUCACUUUGAAGCACGUUUUCUGGCCGGCCUGAUCAGAUUUUUAUGGCCUUCGAACACAGACGAUUGGCAAUAAUGAAUCAGCAAAAAUCAUCAUCGGAUCAAACCUAUGAAGCUAUUUAGCUGUCGAAAUACGUCUGAGUAACACCAAGCAAACCAUAGACGGGCCAAACAUACGUGCCUAGCCGAUCGACUAAUUUCGCCUGAAAAAACACAUGUCCACGUGGUCAAAACCGCAAAAUGGUUUUUAGGCUGGAUACAUAUUUCCGUUGUCAUUAACGCCUCAUCGAUUACGAAUCACCUGGGAGUGCACAUGGUUCCAACCCACUAGGUUAGGUCAGAAAAGGUUAGGUUAAUAUGGUUAGUUUUAGGUUAAGGGCCAAUUUACAAUGCCAGCUAUGCGUUGCGAUAAAAGCUGAAAUCACAAAGAAAGUUUGUCACUGACUUUAUAUGCAACCUGUUUAACGCUGCAAGCGAAGCCAUGAGACUCCGUGGGAUGGAGUUGCUAUAAUCGUAAUGAUUUUA